rnacentral:rRNA from 1 species
ACCAUCCUAAGGUAGCGAAAUUCCUUGUCGGGUAAGUUCCGACCUGCACGAAUGGAGUAACGACUUCCCUACUGUCUCAACCAUGAACUCGGUGAAAUUGCAGUACGAGUAAAGAUGCUCGUUUCGCGCAGCAGGACGGAAAGACCCCGUGACCUUUACUAUAGUUUGGUAUUGGUGUUUGGGUUGGCUUGUGUAGGAUAGGUGGGAGACUGUGAAGCCGUCACGCUAGUGGUGGUGGAGUCGUUGUUGAAAUACCACUCUGGUCAAUCUGGAUGUCUAACUUCGGGCCAUGAUCUGGUUCAGGGACAGUGCCUGAUGGGUAGUUUAACUGGGGCGGUUGCCUCCUAAAGUGUAACGGAGGCGCCCAAAGGUUCCCUCAGCCUGGUUGGCAAUCAGGUGUUGAGUGUAAGUGCACAAGGGAGCUUGACUGUGAGAGUGGCGACUCGAGCAGGGACGAAAGUCGGGACUAGUGAUCCGGCAGUGGCUUGUGGAAGCGCUGUCGCUCAACGGAUAAAAGGUACCUCGGGGAUAACAGGCUGAUCUUGCCCAAGAGUCCAUAUCGACGGCAUGGUUUGGCACCUCGAUGUCGGCUCGUCGCAUCCUGGGGCUGGAGUCGGUCCCAAGGGUUGGGCUGUUCGCCCAUUAAAGCGGUACGCGAGCUGGGUUCAGAACGUCGUGAGACAGUUCGGUCCCUAUCCGCUGCGCGCGUUGGAGAAUUGAGAAAGGCUGUCCUUAGUACGAGAGGACCGGGACGGACGAACCUCUGGUAUGUCAGUUGUACCGCCAGGUGCAUGGCUGAUUGGCUACGUUCGGGAGGGAUAACCGCUGAAAGCAUCUAAGCGGGAAGCCUGUUUCGAGAUGAGAUUUCCUGGCACUUUUUGGUGUGUGAGGCUCCUUAUAGAUGAUGAGGUUGAUAGGCCGGGUAUGGAAGCGGGGACUGAAGACUCGUGGAGUUGACUGGUACUAAUAGGCCGAAGGCUUACUUUU